rnacentral:rRNA from 1 species
GACGAACGCUGGCGGCGUGCUUAACACAUGCAAGUCGAACGGAAAGGCCCUGCUUUUGUGGGGUGCUCGAGUGGCGAACGGGUGAGUAACACGUGAGUAACCUGCCCUUGACUUUGGGAUAACUUCAGGAAACUGGGGCUAAUACCGGAUAGGAGCUCCUGCUGCAUGGUGGGGGUUGGAAAGUUUCGGCGGUUGGGGAUGGACUCGCGGCUUAUCAGCUUGUUGGUGGGGUAGUGGCUUACCAAGGAUUUGACGGGUAGCCGGCCUGAGAGGGUGACCGGCCACAUUGGGACUGAGAUACGGCCCAGACUCCUACGGGAGGCAGCAGUGGGGAAUAUUGCACAAUGGGCGGAAGCCUGAUGCAGCAACGCCGCGUGCGGGAUGACGGCCUUCGGGUUGUAAACCGCUUUCGCCUGUGACGAAGCGUGAGUGACGGGAAUGGGUAAAGAAGCACCGGCUAACUACGU